rnacentral:rRNA from 1 species
UUGAACGCUGGCGGCAGGCCUAACACAUGCAAGUCGAGCGGUAGCACAGAGAGCUUGCUCUCGGGUGACGAGCGGCGGACGGGUGAGUAAUGUCUGGGAAACUGCCUGAUGGAGGGGGAUAACUACUGGAAACGGUAGCUAAUACCGCAUAAUGUCGCAAGACCAAAGUGGGGGACCUUCGGGCCUCAUGCCAUCAGAUGUGCCCAGAUGGGAUUAGCUAGUAGGUGGGGUAAUGGCUCACCUAGGCGACGAUCCCUAGCUGGUCUGAGAGGAUGACCAGCCACACUGGAACUGAGACACGGUCCAGACUCCUACGGGAGGCAGCAGUGGGGAAUAUUGCACAAUGGGCGCAAGCCUGAUGCAGCCAUGCCGCGUGUGUGAAGAAGGCCUUCGGGUUGUAAAGCACUUUCAGCGGGGAGGAAGGCGAUAAGGUUAAUAACCUUGGCGAUUGACGUUACCCGCAGAAGAAGCACCGGCUAACUCCGUGCCAGCAGCCGCGGUAAUACGGAGGGUGCAAGCGUUAAUCGGAAUUACUGGGCGUAAAGCGCACGCAGGCGGUCUGUCAAGUCGGAUGUGAAAUCCCCGGGCUCAACCUGGGAACUGCAUUCGAAACGGGCAGGCUAGAGUCUUGUAGAGGGGGGUAGAAUUCCAGGUGUAGCGGUGAAAUGCGUAGAGAUCUGGAGGAAUACCGGUGGCGAAGGCGGCCCCCUGGACAAAGACUGACGCUCAGGUGCGAAAGCGUGGGGAGCAAACAGGAUUAGAUACCCUGGUAGUCCACGCCGUAAACGAUGUCGAUUUGGAGGUUGUGCCCUUGAGGCGUGGCUUCCGGAGCUAACGCGUUAAAUCGACCGCCUGGGGAGUACGGCCGCAAGGUUAAAACUCAAAUGAAUUGACGGGGGCCCGCACAAGCGGUGGAGCAUGUGGUUUAAUUCGAUGCAACGCGAAGAACCUUACCUGGUCUUGACAUCCACAGAACUUAGCAGAGAUGCUUUGGUGCCUUCGGGAACUGUGAGACAGGUGCUGCAUGGCUGUCGUCAGCUCGUGUUGUGAAAUGUUGGGUUAAGUCCCGCAACGAGCGCAACCCUUAUCCUUUGUUGCCAGCGGUUCGGCCGGGAACUCAAAGGAGACUGCCAGUGAUAAACUGGAGGAAGGUGGGGAUGACGUCAAGUCAUCAUGGCCCUUACGACCAGGGCUACACACGUGCUACAAUGGCAUAUACAAAGAGAAGCGACCUCGCGAGAGCAAGCGGACCUCAUAAAGUAUGUCGUAGUCCGGAUUGGAGUCUGCAACUCGACUCCAUGAAGUCGGAAUCGCUAGUAAUCGUAGAUCAGAAUGCUACGGUGAAUACGUUCCCGGGCCUUGUACACACCGCCCGUCACACCAUGGGAGUGGGUUGCAAAAGAAGUAGGUAGCUUAACCUUCGGGAGGGCGCUUACCACUUUGUGAUUCAUGACUGGGGUG